AUACGUUUAGCGGGGGAAAUCAUCACUUUAUCCCCCUUCAGUUUCGCUCCUGAUGAGAUUAUCCCGAUUAAUAUGGCGUCGUUAAAGGCUUUUACGAGAAAUAAUUUUGCUCGUCCACCGCACAAAGAUAUCGUUAAUAUACCAAUCAUAUUAUAUUUCACUGUAGCAGUCAAUAUAACGAAAACGUUCGUGUAAUAGGAUUUGGGAAAACGUACAAAUGUUUACUC